UGGCAUGAUCUCGGCUCACUGCAACCUCCGCCUCCCAGGUUCAAGUGAUUCUCCUGCCUCAGCCUCCUAAGUAACAGGGAUUACAGGUGGGUUUUGAGCAGCCAUCUUGAACUGUGAGGUGGGAACCAUGUGCUGAGGAGGGUGGAGCGUGGGUGGCCAAACCCCUGCAAUAGCCAUAACAGCCCUACAGUGGAUCUUCCACAGGACAGAGAAAGAAAUGAAGAAACUUCUGUCUUGUUAAAUCAUCACAAAGGCCAGAUCUAAUUGAAAUGUCUCUAAAAUUCUGCCAGCCUGAAGAACUUCACUUACGGGAGUUUGCUGACAAAGAGUUCAAACUCUGGAGUGUAGUGGUGAGAUCACAGCUCCCUGCAGCCUCAACCUCCCAGGCUCAAGUGAUCCUCCC